rnacentral:rRNA from 1 species
AUGGGGAAGGCUGGGAGGUGGCUGAGGAGCAUCUUGGCCGGGAAAAGGGAUGGCGGCAGGAGAGGGGGCAAGCGGGGGCAGGCGCAGUGUGACUCGACGCCUUUGGCCGAGCUGCCGGCGGCUGCCAUCCCGAGGGAGAAGAGGCGAUGGAGCUUCCGAAGGCCUGCGGCGCCGGUCAAGACCGCCGCCGCACCGUCGCCGUUGGCCCUGGAAGCAGGCGGUCUGUCGGAGUCGGUGUCGGAGCGCGAGCUUGAGCAGAGCAAGCACGCCGUGGCGGUGAUCAUGGCGGCCGCUGAUCCCGCGGUGAUACGGCUGACGGCACCCGAGGCGGAGGAUGACCACGACCUCAACCUGUAUGCCACCCCUGUCCAGGAGGCCGCGGCCGCAAGGAUCCAGGCCACCUUCAGAGGCUACCUGGCAAGGAAGGCUCUGUGCGCGCUGAGGGGUCUGGUGAAGCUGCAGGCGCUGAUCAGGGGCCACCUGGUGAGGAAGCAGGCCAGAGCCACGCUCCGCCGCAUGCAGGCCCUCCUCAUGGCGCAGACCCGCGUGCGCGCGCAGCGCAUGCGCAUGCUCGAGGAAGAAGACCACGCCGCCGCCCCUGUCGACCGCCGGUCGCCGCAGCACCCCAGACGCCGCCGCUCCUACGAGAUGGACAGGUCCGGCGAGGAGCAUGCCAAGAUCGUGGAGAUGGACAUGGGGGAGCCGCCGCGGCGGGGGCGGAGCAGCUGCUCGGUCGCGGCGAGCGAGCCAUGGUCGAGAGAGCGCCCUGGAGCAGAGUACCACGGCCCCGGCCAGUGCUCGCCAGCGCCGUCGGCGGCGUUCACCGAGAUCACGAGCCCGCGCGCCUACAGCGGGCACUUCGAGGACUUCGAGCCGGCGACGGCGCGUGUCAGCGCGUACGUGCCGGCAGGUUAUGCCGACGAGGGCGAGUCCGCGUCCGAGUUCUUCCCCAACUACAUGGCCAACACCCAGUCCUCGCGCGCCAAGGCCCGGUCCCAGAGCGCGCCGAAGCAGAGGCCCGACUCGCCGUCGCCGCUGGAGCGGCAGCCGAGCCGGCGCCGCGGUGGCCCGGCGCCCCUGCCGAGAAGCGUCAAGAUGCAGCGGUCGUCGUCGCACGUUGGCGUGCCGUCGUCGGCGGCCGCCAUGUACGCACAGUACUACCCGUGGUCGGUGAAGCUGGACCGGUCCAGCGCGUCGCUCCAUGAGAGCGAGUGCGGGUCGACGAGCUCCAUCCUAACCGCAGCUACCACCGUCGGUUACAGCCGCUCCAUGGUCGGAUUCGAGGUGCACAGGAACCAGUAUUGA